rnacentral:rRNA from 1 species
AUUGAACGCUGGCGGCAGGCCUAACACAUGCAAGUCGAACGAGUGGCGUACGGGUGAGUAAUGUCUGGGCAUCUACCUGAUGGAGGGGGAUAACUACUGGAAACAGUAGCUAAUACCGCAUACCCUCAGAUGUGCCCAUAUGGUAUUAGCUUGUUGGUGUGGUAACGGCUCACCAGGCCGACGAUCCCUAGCUGGUAUGAGAGGAUGACCAGCCACACUGUAACUGAGACACGGUCCAGACUCCUACGGGAGGCAGCAGUGGGGAAUAUUGCGCAAUGGGCGAAAGCCUGAUGCAGCCAUGCAGCGUGUAUGAAGAAGGCCUUCGGGUUGUAAAGUACUUUCAGCAGGGAGGCGUUACCCGCAGAAGAAGCACCGGCUAACUCCGUGCCAGCAGCCGCGGUAAUUC